rnacentral:rRNA from 1 species
CCUACUGGUGGCAUCAUUAGGGCAUCUUGCUCAAUGGGGGAAACCCUGAAGCAUCAACGCCUCUUUUCUUCUUCCUUUUUUCUUCUUUUCCCCUCCUUUUGUUCUUUCCGUUUCUGCCUGUCUCUCCCGACUACUCACCGGCUACUUCCUUGCCAGCAGCCUCGGUACUACGGAGGGUGCCCGCGUUCCUCGGCCUCCCUGGGCGGACGGCGGGCGUCGGCGGGGGCCGAAGUCAGAUGUGAAAUCCUUGAGCUUAACUAAAGAACUGCAUUGGAAACUGUUACUCUGGCGUGUUGGAGAGGUAGGUGGAAUUCUUGGUGUAGGGGUAAAAUCCGUAGAGAUCAAGAGGAAUACUCAUUGCGAAGGCGACCCGCUGGAACAUUACUGACGCUGAUGCACGAAAGCGUGGGGAGCAAACAGGAUUAGAGACCCUGGUAGUC